GAGUCCACAUUGGUAAUUGUCUUCCAUCUUUUUUUCAACUCAUCGGGUAUAGCUGUUUUACACCCAAUGCGCUUCUUCUUUAAUUGAGUGAUAGUUACCUCAAGUUCCAAAACAUCCCUGGAAACAAACCCACUACCAACUCGUUGAUAGUUUUCCAGGUUUUGUGAGAGUUCAGAAAAGCUCUCAUUUAGUGCAAUCAUUAUAUCUGAAAGAUUAUGUAUCUCUUGUGAUGUUGUUGGUAUGUAUGCGAUGUUAGUUGUGAUAUUGUCACCUACUUCUUUCACCAUAUGCAAAGUUAGUCGCAUAUAAAAUCGGAAUGGUAUACACUGAUCCUGCAACAUUCUCACUAUAUCAUGCUGAUACAAAAGAACAUAAUCGAUCGGAUCUUCCACACUGUCAUCAUGUGGAGAAGCAAACAGCACAAAACAUCUAUUAUGACCACCAAAUGCACUCUGAGUUAGAAAGAAUGGUAGGUAUGGAACUUCAACGCCGGGGUGGGCACCUCUAAUAUGUUCUGAGAGCUCUUGUACCUGAUCGACAUUUGGCUCUGGUGGUAAUGGGUUGUUUAAUUCGGCAAAAUUGUCAUUUUGAAUGGCAUCUAUUGGAGUAUCCGAAUCAAACAGACCAUCAUUCAGUAACAUAUUAAAAUCCAAUUCCCACUCCGGAUGAUUCGCUUCCACACCACCAGCAUCAAUUUGCAAAGCUUGCUCCCUCUCCUCAAUACGUUGUAUUAAUUGAUCAAUACCAUCAUACCCACAAAUUCCACAGCGAGGCACUAAAUAAAAAAAAGAAAAUGGAAAGGUCUCAGUUAUAAUAUCUGAAGAUAAAUCAAGAAAAAUACUCACUCUCAGCAGGUCUAGUAGGAAACUUUGGGGGGGAGGCAGCACACCAAACAAGCUUUGGUCUCGAACUUGAGCAGGAGGCAGCACACCAAACAAAAUUUGGCCUGGAACUUGAGCAGGAGGGUAGCACACCAAACAAAAUUUGGCAGGCAAAAUGAAACAAGCACUGCAACCAGGGCAACAGAACUUGUUGGAGAAACACUGCACGCAAUGCUCGAAUUUAUAGGGUGAAAAUGUUGAUGUGGGGGCGGGCUAGAGAAAUCCACAUGUAGCAAAAGUCUUUGUAGUAAACAACCAAUUGCAAACUAAGGAAAAACGCAACCAAUAGGGAAAGUAUGCACAUCCUCUCCAUCGGAUUCCUUUUCAACAUCCCCCUCACAGUCGACGAUGGAAGCGCAGAAGUGCUACGCGGUCUCCGAGGACGAUUAUUCUGAUUGUCUCCUGACGGGGGAUCUUCCUCUUGUGAAGACAUUGAAGCCACCACCCAGAACUUUCUUUAUACAAUAUGAUGAGCAUCUGCGACGCUGUCGUUGUGGUGGAUUGUGGUCAUCGAAUCCAUCUCAUUGGCUAGACAAUAACAUCCGACCUUAUCUCGGUUGCCAUCCAAGCUCGGAUCAACCAUGAAGCCCAGUGAACGAUUUGCUUUGACGGUACAAUGGCUGAUGUACAAGGAUUUGAUGAAAUUAAACUCCUAUCUGAACUGCAA